UCACUCCUACGGGGCGCAGCAGUGGGGAAUAUUGCACAAUGGGCGAAAGCCUGAUGCAGCAACGCCGCGUGAGCGAUGAAGGCCUUCGGGUCGUAAAGCUCUGUCCUCAAGGAAGAUAAUGACGGUACUUGAGGAGGAAGCCCCGGCUAACUACGUGCCAGCAGCCGCGGUAAUACGUAGGGGGCUAGCGUUAUCCGGGUUUACUGGGUGUAAAGGGAGCGUAGGCGGUUUAGCACGUCAGAAGUGAA
rnacentral:rRNA from 1 species